AGGCAUAUGUUGAGGCUUAAAAAACAAAGGCAUACUUAAAGAGAAAUCAAGUCAAGUUUAAGAGAAGAAGAGAAUGGAGAAAUUUGAAGACACACGUUUACUGGAUAACCUCCUGCUGAAUCUGCAGCCAGUUACUUUAUCGAAAAAAAGCCUCCUGCUGAAUUCGUAGCCAGCUGUCAAUUUUUCCCAUCGUGGUUUGAGUUUUGCAUAAAGCAGACACUGUUUUUCUAAAAACUUUCAGACUAAGCUGAAAAAGGAUGCGGUAAGGAGACAUAAUAUGCCACAAGAACCAUCAACUUUUUGUGAAUGCUCUGUCUACGGAUUCGGCAAGACUAUUAUACCAAGUCUGCAUCAUUACCCAAUUUGUGUUUAAUAACCUUGGUCAUCCCAUAAAGCAUGUAUAUCUCUAUCUGCAAGUAUUAUAAUGUUGUUGAUAGGUCUGAUUUAUGCUGCCUUGCACAAUGACAGUUACCUACCUCUCAGAUAAUUCUGCUUGGCUUUUAUGGUCGCCGUUUGGUGUUCUUUUUUC